rnacentral:rRNA from 1 species
GAUGAACGCUGGCGGCGUGCCUAAUACAUGCAAGUCGAGCGAACGGACGAGAAGCUUGCUUCUCUGAUGUUAGCGGCGGACGGGUGAGUAACACGUUGAUAACCUACCUAUAAGACUGGGAUAACUUCGUGAAACCGGAGCUAAUACCGUAUAAUAUUUUGAACCUCAUUGUUCAAAAGUGAAAGACGGUCUUGCUGUCACUUAUAGAUGGAUCCUCGCUGCAUUAGCUAGCUGGUAAGGUAACGGCUUACCAAGGCAACGAUGCAUAGCCGACCUGAGAGGGUGAUCGGCCACACUGGAACUGAGACACGGUCCAGACUCCUACGGGAGGCAGCAGUAGGGAAUCUUCCGAAAUGGGCGAAAGCCUGACGGAGCAACGCCGCGUGAGUGAUGAAGGUCUUCGGAUCGUAAAACUCUGUUAUUAGGGAAGAACAGAUGUGUAAGUAAAUGUGCACAUCUUGACGGUACCUAAUCAGAAAGCCACGGCUAACUACGUG